UACGUAGGGUGCAAGCGUUAAUCGGAAUUACUGGGCGUAAAGCGUGCGCAGGCGGUUUUGUAAGUCUGUCGUGAAAUCCCCGGGCUCAACCUGGGAAUUGCGAUGGAGACUGCAAGGCUUGAAUCUGGCAGAGGGGGGGUAGAAUUCCACGUGUAGCAGUGAAAUGCGUAGAGAUGUGGAGGAACACCGAUGGCGAAGGCAGCCCCCUGGGUCAAGAUUGACGCUCAUGCAC
rnacentral:rRNA from 1 species